AACGCACCUUGCACCCUUUGGAAUUCCGAGGGGUAUGCUCGUUUGAGUGUCAUUGUAAUCUCACACUUUCUCUGAUCCUUUUGGAUUUGGGGAGUGGUGGACUUGGGUGUUUGCUGCUUCCCCUGUGGCUCACCUCAAAUGUGUCAGUGCAUCUCUUGGUUGUACAUAGUACGGCGUGAUAAGUGUCUUCGCCGACACCUCGAAAGAGGGUGGCCAAUCAGGAGCUCUGUGCUUCAAACCGUCUUCAGACAAUCUUUGACAACUUGACCUCAAAUCGAGUAGGAUUACCUGCUGAACUUAA
rnacentral:rRNA from 1 species